UCCUACGGGAGGCAGCAGUGGGGAAUAUUGCACAAUGGGGGAAACCCUGAUGCAGCGACGCCGCGUGAGUGAAGAAGUAUUUCGGUAUGUAAAGCUCUAUCAGCAGGGAAGAUAAUGACGGUACCUGACUAAGAAGCCCCGGCUAACUACGUGCCAGCAGCCGCGGUAAUACGUAGGGGGCAAGCGUUAUCCGGAUUUACUGGGUGUAAAGGGAGCGUAGACGGGUAUAUAAGUUAGUUGUGAAAUCCCUCGGCUCAACUGAGGAACUGCAACUAAAACUGUAAAUCUUGAGUGCGGGAGAGGAA
rnacentral:rRNA from 1 species